rnacentral:tRNA from 1 species
GCGUCUGUCGUAUAAUGGUAUUACCUUAGCCUUCCAAGCUAAAGACGUCAGUUCGAUUCUGAUCAGACGCU